rnacentral:rRNA from 1 species
GUGGGGAAUCUUGCACAAUGGGCGAAAGCCUGAUGCAGCAACGCCGCGUGAGUGAUGAAGGCCUUUGGGUCGUAAAACUCUGUCCUUGGGGAAGAAAAAAAUGACGGUACCCUUGGAGGAAGCCCCGGCUAACUACGUGCCAGCAGCCGCGGUAAUACGUAGGGGGCAAGCGUUAUCCGGAAGUAUUGGGCGUAAAGAGUGCGUAGGUGGAUUUGUAAGCGUAGGGUGAAAGGCAGUAGCUCAACUAUUGUUAGCCCUGCGAACUGUGAGACUUGAGUGCAGGAGAGGAAAGUGGAAUUCCUAGUGUAGCGGUGAAAUGCGUAGAUAUUAGGAGGAACACCAGUGGCGAAGGCGACUUUCUUGACUGUAACUGACACUGAGGCACGAAAGCGUGGGUAGCAAACAGGAUUAGAUACCCCUGUAGUCC